rnacentral:rRNA from 1 species
UACGUAGGGUGCGAGCGUUGUCCGGAAUUACUGGGCGUAAAGAGCUCGUAGGUGGUUUGUCGCGUUGUUCGUGAAAACUCACAACUCAAUUGUGGGCGUGCGGGCGAUACGGGCAGACUGGAGUACUGCAGGGGAGACUGGAAUUCCUGGUGUAGCGGUGAAAUGCGCAGAUAUCAGGAAGAACACCCGUGGCUAAGGCGGCUCUCUAGUACGGUACUGACGCUGAGACGCGAAAGCGUGGGGAGCGAACAGG